rnacentral:rRNA from 1 species
GACGAACGCUGGCGGCGUGCUUAACACAUGCAAGUCGAACGGAAAGGCCCUGCUUUUGUGGGGUGCUCGAGUGGCGAACGGGUGAGUAACACGUGAGUAACCUGCCCUUGACUUUGGGAUAACGUCAGGAAACUGGGGCUAAUACCGGAUAGGAGCUCCUGCUGCAUGGUGGGGGUUGGAAAGUUUCGGCGGGUGGGGAUGGACUCGCGGCUUAUCAGCUUGUUGGUGGGGUGGUGGCUUACCAAGGCAUUGACGGGUAGCCGGCCUGAGAGGGUGACCGGACACAAUGGGACUGAGAGACGGACCAGACUCCUACGGGAGGCAGCAGUGGGGAAUAUUGCACAAUGGGCGGAAGCCUGAUGAAGCAACGCCGCGUGCGGGAUGACGGCCUUCGGGUUGUAAACCGCUUUCGCCUGUGACGAAGCGUGAGUGACGGUAAUGGGUAAAGAAGCACCGGCUAACUACGUG